AGACGACUUCAACAUGGCGCUGCCCAUUGUUGGAUUAAUAUACAUUAUUUGGUCUGCUAUUAAGAUUUACACACUAGGAUUUUUCGCGUUGUUGCGUCAGAUAAUUCAGAAACACAAAGCAGCAGAAGUGAAGUUGCAUACAGGGAAGGUUGCCUUGGUAACUGGUGGAACAUGUGGCAUUGGAUUUCAUGUUUCCAUGGGUCUUGUGUCCAAAAAUGUUCACGUAGUUAUGGGUUGGUGGAUGAUGCCUUGAAAUAUGUUCUCUUUUAAGGUCAAGAUUUAUACUCUGUCCAAAAUUUCUGCUUCCACCACUUUCUGCUUAUUAUAAUAUUUUGAUGAUCUUAAAUACCUUUGUGCCCAAACUACGUUUAUCCACUAGUAAGAAUGAAAAAAGUCAAGAUUAUCUGUUUUGAAACGCCCCCUCUACUGCUUCAGGUUUCAAUACACAACCUAAAAUAGAAAGUCAACAGGGAUUUUGCAUUGCAGCAGACAUAAAAACACCCGGAUGAUAACGUUGAAAAAUUGUGCCAGGUGUUCCGAGUAAUUCCGAAUGAAAAAAAAGAUAUAAACAUUUCCCAUUAUAAAUCUCUGUUAGGAAUUUGUUUUCGACUAUGUUAAUUUUUCCGGGUAAAAAUAGAUUAAGUUUCUAUUUAUAAAGUCAAUCUUAUUACAUUUUAAAAUAUCCGCUUUCGCUUCUCAUUUGAGAAGCGGUUGCUGAAUCAGAACGUCAAAUUUUGAUUAGAUUGUUUAUAAAGUAAUCUUGGAUUUUCCCCCCAUAUAUCUUGACAGGUAUGUGUGUUUUCAUUAAGAUUUGUUAAAGAGUGAAGAAGCAGUAACCAGGGACAGACUAUAGUAAAUAAUUUCAGAGUGUCUUUUUGGUGCUAGAUUCAUUGUGACGUGACAAAUGAUUUGAUCAAUCCUUUUUCCCAUAUUCAAUGGCUUUAAAGGAAGUAUGUAGAAAAUGACACAAAAUCUUAACAUCUAUAAAAGUGGUCCCGUGAUACCUACAUGUAAAUAUUCAAUUUAACAUCAUUUUAAAGAAGACUUCAAGAGCUUGUUUAAUGUCAUUUUUGGAGAGAUAUAGGCAUUAUAGAUAUACUUUAUAAGACCAAAAUGGAUGAAUCUCUGAUAUAUGUUACUUAUUUCCUCCAUGUUUCAUAGAAAAUGAUAGUUUAAAUUAUGAUUUUUCAUUGUGUUUACCAAAAAUUUAAGCCCUGUUAUACCCUAUCAAACAAAGCUGUAACAGUUGUUAUGAAGCAUCAUUGAAAGAAUUCAUAUAUUGAACUUCAUAAACCUAUAGACACCUUUCAUUUACUAGAUCUUAACCUAAAGAAGGGUUAUCAUGCACAGAUCUAGAAAGGGGGGGGGUCUGGGUGUUGGAUCCAUGCAUGGUUAUAAUUAUAUAUUUACAUCUACUAAGUAUUAUUUCCUCUAUUUCUUACGGAAACAUAGUUGAUUCAUAGCUCUAUAGAAAUAGCUAGACUGAAAUCUACACGCCCCGUUUAUCGAUUGGUCGAAAUCUACAACGGCUGAAACUGACAAGAUACUGACAGGAAUAAAAUGGACACGCCCUGUUUAUCGAUUGGUCAAAGCCACCAGCAACCUAAGAAAAAUCACGGACUGCACAAAAUAAUCAUGAUGAUGUCAGACUCAAAGUCUCACAGGAGACGAUUUGGCUGUUUCUUUUAGCUAACGUACUUAUAUGUACAUGUUAAUAUAAAUGAUAAAAUGCUUUCUUUGAUGAUUCAUGUGGGUUAUGAAGGUAGCAAUCAUUGCAGAAAAAAAAUUACAUAACCCACUAACGCGGACGCUAACGCUAAUGCGGGUUAUGUAUUUUAUCUGCAAUGUCUCUACCUUCAUAUCCCGAAUGAAUCCCCAAAGAAAGCAUUUUAUUGUUUAAAUAGCUACAUAUAAGAAUGAUAAAUAUUUAUGAAGUAUAAUGUUCAUUAAUCAUUAUUUAAGUAAAGUAUUGAAUUCAGACAGUGCAUUUUGUAUUUAGCAUUCAUAAAAAAUCUUACCAAUACCUUUUAUAUUUACAUUUUGCCUGUUUUUGUUAAAAAUUAUUAAAUAAAUGUGUUAUAAUUGAAUAUUUUUUUUUCAAUUUCCAGCUGGUCACAGCAUUCAGAAAGGAGAAGAUGCUAUUACAAGAAUAAGAGAAGAAUACCCAAAUGCAAAAGUUGACUUUUUACAUCUGGAUCUCUCCUCAUUCAAAUCUGUACAGACUUUUGUUGCCAAAAUAAAAGCACGAGGUCUCAAAGUUCAUGUUCUGGUCAAUAAUGCAGGCAUAAUGUUUGCUCCUUACAAAGAAACAGUUGAUGAGCUGGAGAGUCAUUUUCAAGUGAACUACUUAAGCCACCUUUAUCUGACACAGGCUCUGAUAGGCAUUCUGGAGGAUUCAGCCACAGAGGAUUGCUACGCCCGUGUCAUCAAUGUGUCAUCUAUAGUCCACAAUGUAGGAUCACUCAGUCUUCAGAGUAUUGGGAGAAGGUGCUCACAUUGCUGGGAAUAUUCCCCUCAUGCUGCAUACGCUAACUCAAAGCUGUACAUAACUCUCUCCACCUGGUACCUUAGUGAAUUAUACAGGCAGGAGAACCAGAAAGUUACAGUGAAUGCUGUCCACCCUGGGAUAGUUAACACCGACCUCUACAAGCAUGUCCAUCCCUCCAUCAAAUGGUUUCUGAACGUAUUAGCACAUUUUACUUAUCUGACCCCCUCUGAGGGAGCAGACACUAUUCUGUAUCUAGCAUUGACACCUGAUGUGGAGAGGGAGUCUGGAUGGUAUUAUGACAAUUGUCAGAAGCAUAAAACAUGUCAGCUGUCUUAUAGUGAAAAAGAUAUUAAAGAAAUGUUCACCAUUUCAACAGACAUUAUUAACAGCAAAAUUAGGUAGUAUAAUAGAGUUCAUUGUAAAUGUUUAAACAGUGUUUGUCUUUGUCUAUCUGUGCAUUAGAAAAAUAUUUGUGCAUUUUAAAUUGUUGAUUAUUUUAAAUAAAUUACAUGUUUUUAUUAACU
rnacentral:misc_RNA from 1 species